CGGCCUCGUGGAUGGCGAGGAGGUCGCCGGGCUGCGGAUCGGGCAGGGUGAGGUCGCGCCCCAGGAGGUCGCC
rnacentral:tRNA from 1 species